rnacentral:rRNA from 1 species
GACGAACGCUGGCGGCGUGCUUAACACAUGCAAGUCGAACGGAAAGGCCCUGCUUUUGUGGGGUGCUCGAGUGGCGAACGGGUGAGUAACACGUGAGUAACCUGCCCUUGACUUUGGGAUAACUUCAGGAAACUGGGGCUAAUACCGGAUAGGAGCUCCUGCUGCAUGGUGGGGGUUGGAAAGUUUCGGCGGUUGGGGAUGGACUCGCGGCUUAUCAGCUUGUUGGUGGGGUAGUGGCUUACCAAGGCUUUGACGGGUAGCCGGCCUGAGAGGGUGACCGGCCACAUUGGGACUGAGAUACGGCCCAGACUCCUACGGGAGGCAGCAGUGGGGAAUAUUGCACAAUGGGCGGAAGCCUGAUGCAGCAACGCAGCGUGCGGGAUGACGGCCUUCGGGCUGUAAACCGCUUUCGCCUGUGACGAAGCGUGAGUGACGGUAAUGGGUAAAGAAGCACCGGCUAACUACGUG